GGUUUCUAUGAAUAGCAUAUAUGACAAAUGUGAUUUUACUCUGCUGUGUUGGUUCAGUGAACCAAGCAUCCUGAAUUCUUCCCUGAUAGGACUGGGCCUUUGACAUCACUGAAAAAAAGAAAUAGAUUCUGGGAAGGAGGUUUCAUCCGAGUAUCCCUGAACAUUUGUCUGGAAGCACUCAUCCUGUGACAUCACUAAAAAAUCAUAAUUUGGAUUUCGAUGGUCAGCAGGUGGUGGUGGUGGUAUUGGUGGUGGUGAUUACCUGAGCUGUAAAGGAUACGAGCUUGGUGCUGUGUCCAUCCUCUGCUCACAUUUGGGACCUCACUGCCUCGGAUACUUUUUAGAAGUUUGGCUUUGUCUGUGUAUGGAGGCCACCAUGAUAUGCCCUCAUGGUACCACUCUGCUGCCACCGGGCUUGUUGUUCCCUCAUCCACAAAUUCAACCAUUCGCGAUACUGACUGGCUGUUUGGAUGGACCUGGGAAGUGGACCACAUGCAUGAACUUUGUAUAAUCCCAUUCUUUUCCUAUUUCGAUUCAGUUUUUUGGGCCUCUCUGACAGUCUUCUAAUGACCUGACUGAGUGGGAAGCCAGGUUUUCUAAUUAGCUUUUUAAUCUGGUGAAGGAAAGAUUCAAAUUUAAAUGCACUGAAAUUAUCGAGUGCACCAUGUAUUUUUACAUCUUGUGCCAAGUGAACAAGGUUGUGUACAUUGUAAGACAUGAACUUUUCCCCAUAGAGCUCUUGAAAGUGUUUCACAAAUAAAACCAAAAUGUCAUUAGCAUACUCAA